ACUUCCUAAGCCGGAACGAAAAGUUGUGUAGUAGUAAUACUGCAAAACUUUUGGCUUUGUGGUUGUGAUGUUGUGUUUGCAAGUUGUCUGGAAAUUCCAGACUUAGUAGCUGAUGCUACUGUUUUUUUUCACUUCCUGU
rnacentral:sRNA from 1 species